rnacentral:rRNA from 1 species
AUUGAACGCUGGCGGCAGGCUUAACACAUGCAAGUCGAGCGGGGUGAUGGUGCUUGCACUAUCACUUAGCGGCGGACGGGUGAGUAAUGCUUAGGAAUCUGCCUAUUAGUGGGGGACAACAUCUCGAAAGGGAUGCUAAUACCGCAUACGUCCUACGGGAGAAAGCAGGGGAUCACUUGUGACCUUGUGCUAAUAGAUGAGCCUAAGUCGGAUUAGCUGGUUGGUGGGGUAAAGGCCUACCAAGGCGACGAUCUGUAGCGGGUCUGAGAGGAUGAUCCGCCACACUGGGACUGGGACACGGCCCAGACUCCUACGGGAGGCAGCAGUGGGGAAUAUUGGACAAUGGGGGGAACCCUGAUCCAGCCAUGCCGCGUGUGUGAAGAAGGCCUUAUGGUUGUAAAGCACUUUAAGCGAGGAGGAGGCUUACCUAGUUAAUACCUGGGAUAAGCGGACGUUACUCGCAGAAUAAGCACCGGCUAACUCUGUGCCAGCAGCCGCCGUAA